rnacentral:pre_miRNA from 1 species
GUCGGGGAGGGGGGUCCCCUCAGCCCAGAUUGAGAGAGGGCACAGGCCAGGCCAAGGGACCCCACCGGUGCACG